rnacentral:rRNA from 1 species
AUAUCAAUAAGCGGAGGAAAAGAAAGCAACUGCGAUUACCCUAGUAACGGCGAGUGAAGCGGUAACAGCCCAGAUUUGAAAUCUGGCCCUAGUUUUAGGGUCCGAGUUGUAAUCUGCAGAGGGUAGGUCCGGUGAGCCUCCCGCCCAGUCCUCCUGGAAGGGGGCGCCGCAGAGGGUGAUAGCCCCGUGCGGCGGGCUGGCGAGCCGGUGUGACCGCCCUUCGAAGAGUCGCAUAGUUUGGGAAGUGCUGUGCAAAGUGGGAGGUAUGCUCCUCCUAAGGCUAAAUACUGGCCGGAGACCGAUAGCGCACAAGUA